GUGUCAGCAGCCGCGGUAAGACGAACCGUGCGAACGUUGUUCGGAAUCACUGGGCUUAAAGGGCGCGUAGGCGGCCGACCAAGUCCGGGGUGAAAGCCCCCAGCUCAACUGGGGAAGUGCCUUGGAAACUGGUUGGCUCGAGGGAGGUAGGGGCCCGCGGAACUUCUGGUGGAGCGGUGAAAUGCGUUGAUAUCAGAAGGAACGCCGGUGGCGAAAGCGGCGGGCUGGAUCUCUACUGACGCUGAGGCGCGAAAGCUAGGGGAGCAAACGGGAUUAGAUACCCGCGUAGUCC
rnacentral:rRNA from 1 species